rnacentral:lncRNA from 1 species
CGGCGGUGGGCUCGUUGAUGAUGCGCAUGACGUUCAGGCCGGCGAUUGUGCCGGCGUCUAUGGUGGCCUGGCGCUGCGAGUUGUUGAAGUAGACAGGGACGGUGACCACGGCGUUCUUGACCGUGGUGCCGAGGUACACCUCGGCGGUCUCCCUCAUCUUGGUGAGCACCAUGGCGGAGAUCUCCUCGGGCAUGAACUGCUUCUCUUUGCCUUUGUACUGCACCGCGAUCAUCGCGCGGUCGUCACGACCUGCGACGACUUUGAAAGGCCACAGCUUGAUAUCUUCUUGUACAAUCUCGUCACUGAACUUGCGGCCGAUCAAUCGCUUUACUUCUGUAAAAACGUAGUAAUGUCGUCAGUUAAGUGAAUGAACCGUAAAUACUAGCUUAACCAUUACUUUGAAACGUACUGCUAUACUAUUUCUAGCAAUCACACCUGUUCUUUCAUAUUCUCUGAACUCUGAAAAUGCUCUUAAUUGCAAUCCAUGAGUUGUUUCGAACGAAAGGUUUGUAUAUGGCACUGGCUAGCAGUACUAGUAUUCACUAGGAGCGCCAAUGGAAAUUAAACAGCAGUGUAGAGUGAAAGCGAAAAGGUACUUCCACUAAAACAAGGUAAAAAGUGUCAUAAACACGAACAGGGCGUCUAGAGAAAUUUAAAAGAAUUGUAGGCACGCAAUCGUGCGAUUGUGACAGAAUUGCAAACGACCAGUGCAGCAAGCUCGCCGUUGUAUUGCGCCUGCAUGCUAUUUCCUUCUCUACUAGUACUAGUACUAUGUAAUAUUCAGUCAUUAACACCUUCGGCAGUUCGGCUAGACACAGCUGAUCUGUGUUGGAUUCAACUGAAGAACAUAUAUAACAAUUAACAAGGAAUAUACAUAUGCGAGUGAUGAAACAGCUGUGCUGUGUGCAGUAGUGCUCACCGAAAACUGUGUUGGUGGGGUUCAAAGCGGCCUGGUUUACGGCCGCCUCGCCGGCAAACAUCUUGUCGUCGGUGAACGCGACGCAGGACGGCGUGAGGCGGUUGCCCUGGUCGUUGGCGAUAAACUCGCUGCGAUCUCGCCGCCAUAUGGCCACACAUGAGUAGGUCGUCCCCAGGUCGAUGCCGAUCGCCAGCCCGCCGUCUUUCGAAAUCACCAUCGUCUGCACUGCACACCGUCGCAAUCUAAGCCCUAGGUACUAGCGCGCGGGGGGGGGGGGAGGGGGGGUGUAUAUGUGAUGCGGAUGGAGGGGCGUGCUAGAGUCCGCUUCGGACGCGACGCACCGUCCGGCAGGCGUUUCCCUCUCAAAAAUUACCGCCAACCCGUACCGGCCAAGGCUACAACACGCAACGCGCGGGAAGCACCGUAGAAAUUUUUAGUGGGGGACCGAGCAACUGCAUAUUAUUUUUUGCCGUUCGUUGAUUUGCAUGCGGUGCAAAUUAAAAAAAGUCUGUGGAAUAUCUAAAUUAAAUUCUGAUUGUAUCAUUAUUUUUUAUAAUAAAUAUUUCAAAACAAAAACCCACAUGAAUAUAUUUAGAUAAAUAUUAUUAUUAAACAUUAAUUUCAUAAAAGAUAUAAUAUUUUCUUUUAUUGAGCGAAGAUGAUGUCAUAGGAUCAGAGAAUAAUGUUCAAUCUUUGUAAAAAAAAGAAUAUCACAUGAGUAUUGUUUAAAACAUCCUAAAAUAUAUUAUAAAACAUCAUACGUAUACUAAGUGAACAUUAUUAAAUAUACCAUAGAAUAUCAUAAAAUAUAUUAUAGAACAUUUAUGUAUUACGUGAACAUUACUAAAUACCAUAUAACAUUAAUAAAUACAUUAUAAAACAUCUCAUAUAUAUUACAUGAACAUAAAAACAUCAUAGAACAUCACAUGUAUACUAUGUGAACAUAAAAAAAAUAGCAUAGAGCACCACAUGUAUACUACGAGAACAACACAUGUAUAUUACGCGAACAUCGUAUCAUCAUAGAAUAUUACUCCCUUUUGUCCCUAAAAGCUUCAACUUUUAGAGUUGUCCUAAGUCAAACUUUCAAAAACUUUAGCCAAAUUUUUAGAAAAAAACACUAAGAUUUAUAGUACCAAACUAAUACCAUUAGAUUUAUCAUAAAAAUAUAUUUUCAUAAGAUACUCAUUUUAUGUCAUAGAUAUUGAUGCUCUUUUCUAUAAAAUUGGUUAAAAUUAAAAAAAAAUACUAACAUGGAUUCUAGGAGUUGAAGCUUUCACAAAUUGAGGGAGUACAUACAUACCACGUGAACAAAAAAAUUCACAGAACAUCACAUGUUGUAUGACACAUGAACAUAAAAACUAUCACAUAUAUACACAUAAACAUCACAAAAAAUAACAUAAAACAUAAUAACAAAUAAAAAAAUAAAAUAAAAGAGAAAAGAAAUAAAAGAAAUGUAAAAAUAUUAAAAUGAAAAUAAUAAUAAUAAUAAACACAUAGAAUUCUAAAAAUAAAAAAAUGAAUGAUGCAAAAAAGAAAAUAAAAAAUUUAAGAAAGAUUAAAAAUAAAAAACAUGAAUCAAAGGAAAACAAAAUUAGAAAAGAAACAAAUAAAAUAAAAUAAAACAUCAUAUAUAUAUAUAUACAUCCACGUGAACAUAAAAAAUAGUAAAGAAAAGAAAUAAAAGAGAAAAAACAAAAAUAAUUAAAAAAGUUGUCCACACGAUUUGUUAGAAAUUUGUUAUUUUUAUAUCUCACAAAUAAAUUUGAGUUUGGACAAAAUAUUUUACAAGAUUGUGUAUCAUCAUAUCAUCUACAUGUGUGAUUUUUUUGGUGAAUUUAGACGACUUUUUUGCUAUGGUUUACACGGGUUUUCACCCGAUACAUAAGGGAUAUAGGUACUCUUGGAGAUGAGUUUUUCUUUUUUUUCUCAAAAAAAUAUAGACAGGGAAGAAAUUAGAGUACUUUUAAAGAUGCUCUUAGCUAAUUUUUAAUGCUAAUGAAUCCAAAUCGGCCCGGGAUCCACCAAAUGGCCCUAGCAGCUAGUCAGAUCCAUGCAAAAGAGCACUUUCGGCCCACGGGUCCACCGUCCACGUACAUUGUACACACACCUUCGUUUUCUUUUUGCAGCCGCCAGCCGUACCCGCUGACCCGCACGUUCUUCUUCCCCCGCGCGCUCGUCUCUCGCCGCGCCGGCGCUUCCACAAUGCCCCGGUGCCCAUGAUGGUGGCUAGGAGGAUUUUACAUCGUUGCGCACGCCUACCGUUGAUCAAGAGUCACCAGCUCGCGGCGUGUUAUUCACUGAUACAGCUCGACUGCACUGUCGCUCAUUCGCUAUUUUCGCGCAGACAGAGGUGGCCUCUGACUGUCGCAUGUCUCGGGACAGCUUUGUACCCAGGCUCAGGUUAUGAUCCAUAUGUUCAGCAUUUCUUCCUCUGCAUCCUUCUCGUUUAAUAAUCAAAGAAUUAAGGUAGCAAUCCGUCUACUCCUGAGUCAUGACACCAGCUAGCGACGUGAUCCUAGGAAGGGAGGACAGAGAAUGCAGCAAAACCCCCAUGAAUUACUGUGUUCCAACGACUUGGGUGAGGAAGUUCAUAGAGGUACAGCCGUACAGACAUACAGUGAUACUGAGGCAAUUUUCGCAUCAAGCUAGUAUUAUGAACUACUUGUGGCAAUAUGUUUGUCUGAAAUGGAGCAGUAAUCUGUUUGUUUCACUUAAACAGUGCUCAGGUAAAUAAAGAAUUUGUUUAUGCCCCUUAAGCCAGUUUAACAGCUAUUAUGAAUUGUUGUAGUCACUUGCAGUUCUGGCUUGAUCGACGGGUUUUAGGCCAAGUAGUGAGCGUGCUUUUAAUGUUCUAACAAAUCACUAAAGGUCACACAAAUCAGACAAACACUGCGUACAGAUCUAGUAUCAGACAUACACAUGACACACUGAAACUAUGCCAACUCAGAAGUCAGAAUUCGUUUGCCUGAUGAAAGGCAUUCAACAGAUACAGUGAGGAUUACUCUAAUAGUCUAGCAACAUCUAUUAAAGCAAGACUCCACUUCCGCAAAAGACGAAAGCACUAGCUAGGCUAUAUAUGCCAAAGCCUAAAGUUGCAUUGUCAUAUUUAAGCACCCAAUCAGUGCGACUUAAUUCUAGGGAGAACUGGUAUGCAAAAGAUCAUCUAACUGUGAUCAGCCAUGGUAAGGGUUGCAGAAUCAGUUUCCACGCUCAGUUGGUACCCAUUCUCCUGUACCUCUCCGCCUCCUGCACCAUGUGCUCGAUUUCCUCCUUGUGCAGCCGGCCACUGUGGUUAGUGAUGGUAAUGCUGUUUUUCUGCCCACUGGUCUUGUCCUCUGCCAACACAUUCAGGACGCCGUUCAAGUCAAUGUCGAACGUGACAUCAAGACAAGGAAUGCCCCUGGGCCUGGGGAGGAUCCCAGAUAGCUUGAACUGCCCGAGUAGGUUGUUGUCCUUGGUGCUCGCACUCUCACCCUCGUACACCAUGAUGUCCACAGACUCUUGAUUGUCAUAACUGGUGGUAAAGCCCUCUACCCUCUUCUUGAAAGGAAUGGCUGUAUUCCGUGGGAUCAUUGUCCUCAUUAUGUCAUCUUGCAUCUUCCCCUUAACAGUAUCCCUGACACAUAACCCUAGCGAGAGAGGUGUGACGUCCUGAAGAAGCAUAUCCAGCAACCUCCCAUGAUCGGUUUUGCCACUGAGAAUAAAGGCAUGGAUGGCAGCACCGUAAACAACAGCUUCAUCAGGGUUGAUGCUCCGGCGAAGCUCUUUCCCAUCAAAGAAUUCCUGGAGCAUGUUCUGCACCUUGGGGAUGCGGGUGGAGCCACCCACGAGGACAACAUCAUGGAUGCUGCUGUUGUCCACCUUGGCAUCAUGGAGGCACUUUUCCAAUGCCUCCAUGCAUUUACUGAAGAGGUGUUUGUUCAGUUCCUCAAAUCGGGAGCGGGUGAUGGUGGUGCAGAAGUCAAUGCCAUCAUGGAGGGAGUCCACCUCAAUGGUGGUCUGUGUCGCAGAAGACAGCAUUCUCUUCGCUCUCUCGCAGGCAGUCCUCAGUCGCCGGAGUGCCUUCUGGUUUCUUUUGAUUUCUGUCUUGUUGUGUUUCCGUAUGAACUCCCGAAGAGCAUACUCCACCAUCUCAUUAUCAAAAUCCGCUCCACCAAGGUGAGUGUUACCGGCGAUGGCCUUCACCUCAAAGACACCCUUACCCAUGGAGACACCUGGAUCAAUGUUAAGGAGGGAGACAUCGAAGGUACCACCACCAAGAUCAAAGACGAGCACUGUUCUCCCGGUGUUGCUGACAGGCAUCUUCUCAAGACCAUAGGCAAUGGCGGCAGCAGUGGGCUCGUUGAUGAUGCGCAUGACAUUCAGGCCAGCAAUGGUGCCUGCAUCUAUUGUGGCCUGGCGCUGAGAGUUGUUGAAGUAGACAGGAACAGUGAUGACUGCAUUUUUUAUCCUGGUACCAAGGUAGACUUCAGCUGUCUCCUUCAUUUUGGCCAGCACCAUGGAGGAGAUCUCCUCAGGAAAGAACUGCUUCUCCUCACCUUUGAACUGCACCACAAUCAUUGGGCGGUCCUCAAGAUCAGCGGCAACUUUGAAAGGCCACAGCUUGAUAUCUUCUUGUACAUGCUCAUCACUGAAACGGCGGCCAAUCAGUUGUUUCACCUCUGUAGAAAAUUAGUCAUGUAUCAAUCAGAGUGAACCAUGUAUAGCUUAGCUUCAGUAAUCUGAUUAGCAUCUAUUGACAUUUCUGCUACGAAAAAAUAUAUGAUCUGUUACUGCCUAGGCUAAACUUGGAUAUGCCCAGAUUCAGAAUUCACGAAUUUUUAACCAUCAAUAAGCAAAUUAAUAGAAAAACAGUAUGUGCAGUGAUGGGAUUUUCACUAGAAUAUCGUGGCUUUCAUUGGACAGUUGCAGCAUUGCCAUGAAUUAUCACUUAAUCAGCAUCCUUGCAAUGCGAUCAACUCCAACCCUGGUUUUUAGAUUUAACGAGAUGAAUUGAACAAUCAGUGACGCGGAAAGGGGGUUUACCAGGGUUUAGGGGUUCCUGGGGAUACUAAACAAUCUUAACCAAGACGGAAAAAGUGCCUUUUAAAAUCCGUGGGUUAGAAAAAUAAACGGCAUAAAUUAGAAAAAUCAGAUGAAGCAGAACAAGCCAGGUAGAGAAGAAGGUUGUAGCAAUCCAUUCAUCGCCCAGCCCCCGGAGACCAGAGUCACUGGGCAAGCAUCGAUUACAGCGGGGAUUCGAUGGAUCUAGAAUUCUAUAUAGUGUCUGACGCUACGGUGAGCACUGGGCCGCCGGCCAUCGAGUUUUGCGAUUCGAACGAAUAUCGAUCUGGCCAUUAAAAGAUAACGGAAAAAACCCACCUUUGCGCUUCACGUGUACCCUCGCCGACUACCAACAAAAGGGGGGCGAUGAGCCGAUGAACACUAACAGCUACUGAAGUGAAGGCUACACAAGGGAGAAACACCGGCGAGUAGUACGCAAGCACUCACCGAAGAUGGUGUUGGUGGGGUUUAGGGCGGCCUGGUUCACGGCCGCCUCGCCGACGAGCCUCUCGGUGCUGUUGAAGGCGACGCAGGACGGCGUGAGACGACUGCCCUGGUCAUUGGCGAUGACCUCGCCGCGGUCAUGCCGCCACACGGCCACGCAGGAGUAAGUCGUACCGAGGUCGAUGCCGACCGCCGGACCGUCGCUCUCCGAAGCGGCCGCCAUCUUCCUUCGCAGAGAAGCGUGUGCGAGAAGAGUGGUAGUACUACUUCCGUUGAGACACAGGUGUGCCAAGAGGGAGUGCAGUGUGCGGCGUGCUCAUAUGUGUCCCAGCAUCGCUCCUGCGCAGUGUGUCCGCUGUGGGCUGCGCGCUCGUUGUGGGCCGCGUCAUGGGCCUUCCCCCACUCAAUGCAACGUCUGUACACCCGUCCGACCGCUCGGGAAGUUUUCCGGAUGCUUCCACCACACAUCCACACGGCAGCACCGUCGUCGACAAGUGACAAUCUUGGUCUGCCGCUGCGUAUCGCUCCUGUGGCCUGAAAAUUGUGCUUCUACCAUGGAAAAUUUGGCCUUGCCAAUCUCAUGUAUAUACAGGUAUAGAUCGAAGCAAUGUGUGCCGGCCUGCGACCCUGUGUGUGGUGCAGCCGUUCAGUUUAACGGAUGCUGGAGGCUGCUACAAGAAUUUUGACAUGCACAUGUAAACAAGUUUGGUGCGCUGCCAAGCCUUUCGUGGUAAAGACAAUUCCUUUGAGUAGCUUAGCCCAAAUGGAGCAGUAAUUAAUCUAUUUGUUAGGCCUUGUUUAGUUUGUAAAAAAAAUAGAUUUGGCUACUAUAGCAUUUCAAUUAGUGUCCAAUUUGGACUAAUCAGACUCAAAAGAUUUGUCUCACAAAUUACAUGUAAACUAAUUAGUUAUUUUUAUCUAUAUUUAAUAUUCCAUGUGUUUAAAUAUUUGAUGUGAUGGAACGAAAAGAAAAUUUUUGGAAACUAAGGACAUUAGCCUAGACAAAAAUUUGUGUGGUGCGGUACCACCAGAUCUACAUGCUUGUCUUCUCAUGAUAUAAAAGAGCACAUUUGAUGCUAUGUUGUUGGCAAUCUACUACGGUCUACAGGUUCGCGCUGCUACUCAUCAGCUUGUUAAUAGUAGUUUGGAUUCUCCAAGGAAGGAGUUCGGAUUCAGCAAAAGUUCAUGGUUGCAAGACACAUCCAACAGAAAUAGAAGAUUACUGCAUUAAUAUCACCAAAGUUCCAGAAACGACGACAGCACAAGCUAGGCUAUGGCCUGUUCCCAGCUUAAAACCAGCUUGAGUGCUUGACAGAAGCAAGACACUCGAGAAAAUAGAACAUUACUACAAUAUCACCAUGGUUCCAGAAACAACGACAUUACCAAGCUUAUGGCCAUACACAAACCAAGCCAAAAGUCACGUCAUUUAGCAUCCAUUGCAACAAAAGCAACGAGCUACUUACCAGAGCUUUGAUAUGAACCCCUCCCACUUUACCUCUCACUCUCAGCCUUCAACACCAAGUGCGUGAUUUCCUCCUUGCGCAGCCGGCCACCAUGGUUAACAAUGGUGAUGCUGUUCUUCCGCCCAGUGUCCCUGUCCUCCGCGGACACCUUCAGGACGCCGUUUGCAUCGAUAUCGAAGGUGACAUUGAAAUCAGGUACACCCUGCGGUGCCGGGGGUACAUCGGUGAGCUUGAACUUGCCGAGCAGGUUGUUGUCCCUGGUGUUUGCGCUCUCGCCCUCGUACACUGGAAAGCUCACAGCAGUCUGGUUGUCGUAGAAGGUGGUGAAGCGCCGCACCUUCUUGGUCGGGAUGGCAGUGUUCCUCGGGAUGACCACGCUCAUUGUAAAAUUAUCUUCAGUUUCAAUCCCAAGCGAGAGUGGCGUAACUUCACGCAGAAGCAUAUCUACUAAUCUCCCAUCGUCAGUUCGACCACUGAGAAUAGAGGCCUGGAUGGCAGCACCGUACGCAACAGCUUCAUCAGGGUUGAUGCUGCGGCAAAGCUCCUUCCCACAGAAGAAAUCCCGAAGCAUGCUCUGCACCUUGGGGAUACGGGUGGAGCCGCCCACGAGGACAACGUCGUGGAUGCUGCUCUUGUCCAUCUUGGCAUCGCAUAAGCACUUAUCCAGACCCUUCAUGCACUUGCUGAAAAGAUCCUUGUUGAGCUCCUCAAAUCGAGACCGGGUGAUGGUGGUGCAGAAGUCGAUGCCUUCAUGGAGCGAGUCGACCUCAAUGGUGGUCUGUGCAGUGGAAGACAACAUCCUCUUUGCUCUCUCGCAGGCAGUCCUCAUUCCUCAACCGCCGGAGUGCCUUCUGGUUGCUAUGGAUGUCCAUCUUCCCAUGUUUCCGUGUGAACUCACGAAGAGAAUAUUUCACCAUCUCGUUGUCGAAAUCAGCCCCACCAAGGUGAGUGUCACCGGCAAUGGCCACCACCUCGAAGAGACCCUUAUCCAUGUUGGUUCCUGGAUCAAUGUUGAGGAGGGAAACAUCAAAGGUACCACCACCAAGAUCAAAGACGAGCACCGUCCUUUGUUUGUUGCUGACUGACAUCUUCUCAAGACCAUAUGCAAGGGCAGCCGCAGUUGGCUCAUUGAUAAUGCGCAUGACAUUUAGGCCGGCAAUGGCACCAGCGUCAAUGGUAGCCUGCCGCUGGGAGUUGUUGAAGUAGACAGGGACUGUGAUGACAGCGUUCUUGAUCUUUUUACCCAGAUAUACCUCGGCUGUCUCUCUCAUCUUGACCAGCACCAUGGAGGAGAUCUCCUCAGGCAUGAACUGCCUCUCCUUGCCUUCAUACUGGACCAAGAUCAUCGGCCGGUCAUCACUCCCUGCGACGACUUUGAAAGGCCACAAUUUGACAUCUUCUUGUACAGACUCGGCACUGAAUCGGCGGCCAAUUAGUCGCUUCACCUCUGUAGAAAAUUAGUCAUGUAGUCAAUCAGAUGAACCAUGUAUAGCUUAACUUCGAUAAUUUUAUUUUGCAUCUGUCAAAUGUCAUUUUUGUUAUGCUCGCAAAAAAAAAAAGCCAUUUUUGUUAGAAAAAAGAAUAUGGUUUGACACUGCCUUAACUUGCAUAUGCCCAGGUUCAGAUACUGUGAAUUUUCAGUCAUUAAACAGAUUAAUAAGAAAUAUAAUGGUCCGUGUAGCAACGGGAUAGUAUUGUGGUUGUCACUGGGCAGUUGCCAGCAUUGCUAUGAUUUAUCACAAUAUCAGAAUCCUCGUUCUGCAAUCGAUUCUUCCCCCACUUAAUUUAACUUUGGUUCUUGGAUAUAUUUGCGUUCUAGAUUCAACGAGAUGAAUUGAAAAACCAGUUCACACGGAAAGGGGAGAUGCCUGGGCGAUACUAAACAGUCUUACAGAAGUCCAAAGAAAAGUAGGAGUACUCCUUUACACAUCCGUGGGCAAGAAAAAUAAAUGGCAUAUAAAUUAGAAAUAUCAGCUGAACAAAACACGAAGCCAGCUACAGAAGAAGGCUGUAGCAAUCCAUUCAUCACUCAGUCCCCGGAGACCGGAGUUACUGGGCAAGCACCGUUUGCACCAGGGGUUUCGAUCGAUCUAUAAUGCCUGAUGCUGCGGCGGACUGUGAACCGCCGGCGCGAGUUUUGUGUUUCUUACUACUGACUGAAAAUUGAUCUGGGCGGCAUUCCACAAACGAGGCGACGAACAACUACUGAGACGGAAAAAAAAAACCCAUCUUUGGGCAUCAUGUACGUCUAAAACCCCAACGACUACCAACAAAAGAGGCGACGAACAACUACUGAGAUGGAGGCUACAGAACGGAGAAACACCGGCGAGUAGUACUCACCGAAGAUGGUGUUCAUGGGGUUCAGGGCGGCCUGGUUCACGGCCGCCUCGCCGACGAGCUUCUCGGUGCUGCUGAAGGCGACGCAGGAUGGCGUGAGGCGGUUGCCCUGGUCGUUGGCUAUGACCUCGCCGCGGUCGUGCCGCCACACGGCCACGCACGAGUAAGUCGUACCGAGGUCGAUGCCGACCGCCGGACCAUCGCUCUUCGAAGCGGCCGCCAUCUUCCUUCUCAGGGAAUCGUGUGGCGUGUGCGAGAAUGCGAGAAGAGUACUACUUCCGCUGUUUCGCAACGCCGAGCAGAGAGGUGUGUCAAGACUCAAGACUCAAGAGGGUAGAGGGAGUCAGGGAGGUGUGCCAAGAGAGUGCAGUGUGCGGUGCGGCGUGCUCAUAUGUCUGCGGCAGGGCAGUGUGUGUGUGUGGGGGAACUGGGAAGUCCCCACCCCCACCCCAAAAGUGCAGGGGAGUUGUUGAGUUCAAUUAAGGACUUGUUUAGUUUUAUUUUUUUACAAAAUAGAUAUUAUAGUAUUUUCGUUUGUAUUUAACAAAUAUUAUCUAAUUAUGAAUUAACUAUGUUUAGAAGAUUCAUCUCACAAAUUACAGAUAAACUAUAAAAUUAGUUAUUUUUUAUUUAUAUUUAAUACUCCAUACAUAUACCGUAAGAUUCCAUGUGACGAGAAAUCUGAAAAUUUUGAAAUUUUUUUUGAACUAAACAAGACCAGGCUUUGUUCAGUUCCCAUUUUUUUUGUUUUGAGAUACUAUAGCAUUUCCGUUUUUAUUUGGCAGUUAUUAUCUAAUUACGGACUAACUAGGCUCAAAAGAUUUAUCUUACAAUUUACAGACAAAUUGUGUAAUUAGUUUUUGUUUUCAUCUAUAUAUAAUGCUCUAUACAUGUGCCAUAAGAUUCGAUACGACCGAAAAUCUUAAAAAGUUUUUGGUUUUGGAUUGAACUAAACAAGACCUAAGCUUAAGCGAAUAGGGUAGAAAUCUUGUUGCUCGGAAGUGGGAACAAUCCAAAAGCUUAAGGCCCUGUUUAGUUUUCCACCAAAAUUUUUUUCAUCCAUCCUAUCGAAUUUUUAGACACAUGCAUGAAACAUUAAAUGUACAUAAAAAAAUAAACUAAUUACACAGUUUGGUAUGAAAUCGCGAGACGAAUCUUUUAAGCCUAGUUACUCUAUGAUUAGCCUUAAGUGCUACAGUAACUCAUAUGUGCUAAUGAUAGAUUAAUUAUACUUAAUAGAUUUGUCUUACAGUUUUCUGACAAGCUAUGUAAUUUGUUUUUUUAUUAGUUUCUAAAAACCCCUCCCGACAUCCUUCCGACAUAUCCGAUGUGACAUCCAAAAAAUUUUCAUCUCUAAUCUAAACUGGGCCUAAGCAAAGAGUCUAGAAAUCUUGUUGCUCCGAAGUGGGAACAAUCUAAAAUGAGGCCUUGUUUACUUCGCUAAAUUUUUUAAUUUUAACUAUUGUAUUAUUAUUUUUUUAUUUAAAAAUUAUUGUUCAAUUAUGAAUUAACUAGAUUCAAAAGAUUCAUUUUGUAAAUUACGAGUAAAUUAUAUAAUUAGUUUUUGUUUUCACUUAUAUUUAAUGCUUUAUACAUGUGUCUAAAGAUUUUUGAUGAGAAAUCUUGAAAAUUUUUAGUUCUAAAAAAUUUACAAAUAGAAAAAGUAAUAUUUUCGUUUGUAUUUGACAAAAAUGUUGUCCGUUUAUAGACUAACUGGCCUUAAAAAAUUCAUCUCGCAAAUUAUAGGUAAAGUGUGUAAUUAGUUAUUUAUUUUAUUUAAUUUAGUGUUCUAUAUAUGUACCGCAAGAUUUGAUGUGACAUAAAUCUGAGAAAUUUUAUAAAAUAUUUUGGUAACUAAUGAAUUGCAAUAGUCCAAAAACUGGCUAGCCGUAGCGAUGAAUUGCUGACUAGUGUUUACUUACACCUAAAAAUCCAAAAAAUUUCAAAAUUUUCCGUUAUAUCCAAUUUUUAGACAUAUACAUGGAGUAUUAAAUAUAGAUGAAAAUAAAAAUUAAUUACAUAAUUUAGUUGAAAUUUAAGAAACAAAUCUUUUAAAUCUAGUUAAUCUAUAAUUGAAUAAUAAUUAUCAUAAACAAACGAAAGUAAUAUAGUGUUGCAAAAUUUUUUACAUCAGAAACUAAACACGGCCUAGCAGUACCACUCUACCAGUCUGGACUGGACUGGACAGGUGAGGAGGCUCACCGCUCACCAGGCGCUGUGCUGCUGCAAGCUCAGAACUAUGCGUGUGCGUGUGGUGUGUACUGCCAUGCUGGUCUACAGAACUCUACUGUGGUGUGCGUAUUCCGCAGAAAAAGGCCCCGACGGGCCACGCGCCCACGCCGUGGUGAAAGAGGAGAGGGACAAAAGGGUGUUUAGUUGAGGUGUUAAAGUUUAACCAGUAUAAUAAUAUUUUCAUCUUAUUUAAUAAUUAGUAUUUAAUUAUAAACUAAUUAUUAUUAAAAUCUUCAUCUUGUAAAUUACUCUCUAGCUAUUUAUGUUUUUAGUUUUAUAAAUACUCUAUAUUUAGUACUUUGUGCAUGUGUCUAAAUAUUUAUGUGACAGGAGUUAGAGAGUGUUUGGUUAAAGUUGUUAAAGUUGACCUAUGAGAGUUCAGUAGACAUUAUUAUACGAGAGGUAAAAAGAUUUUUAAGUUUGAUUAAGCUUAUAUAAGAUAUUAUAUAUCGUUUAAUCUCUAAUUAAGUUUAUUAUGAAAAUAUAUUUUAUAAUUAAUCUAAUAAUAAAAUGGUUGCGAAGAAUAAUUUUUAAUCGAUUCAGACUACUCAGAAGUUUACCUAUUUUAAAAUAGGAUCUGAUCGAGAGCUUUAUUUAGAUUAGAACUCUUAUCUAUUUAGAUUAUGAAACAAUUAUUUUCUAUUUAAAUUGGAAUAGAGUUUCUAUUCAGGUUACUUGGAAGUCUUGCCUAUUUUAAAAUAAGCUGAUUAAAAGCUUUAUUUAGACUAGAACUAUUAUCUUUUACGGUUAUCUCAAGAAAUUUUGUAUGUCAUUAUAAAACAAGAAGCGGUAGGAAGACAUGAAUAGAAGCAGAUUCAACAUUCAUAGAGUUAGUUAGAAGAGAUGGAUGAAAAAAAUGUCUAAAAAUUUUAUCUCUUUGAUAUAGAUAUAGAUAUAGAUAUAGAUAUAGAUGUAGAUAUAGAUGUAGAUAUAGAUAUAGAUAUAGAUAUAGAUAUAGAUAUAGAUAUAGAUAUAGAUAUAGAUAUAGAUAUAGAUAUAGAUAUAGAUAUAGAUAUAGAUAUAGAUAUAGAUAUAGAUAUAGAUAUAGAUAUAGAUAUAGAUUUUUUUUCUAGAUCAAGGGAAUGCAUGCGUUUUUCUAAGAAAAAGUUAAGCCCUUACAAGAAGCUAACCACCAAGAUGGCAAGUCACCAUUAUUGGUGGUAAGCAAAGUACCAGAGUAACUGAGAAACAUAACAAGAAAAAACAAAACAAAGGAUUACAAGAUAUAGAUAUAGAUAUAAAAUAAGAAAGUGCCAUUUUGUCUAGAUUAGACCGUACAGAAUGAGAGUUUCUUGCCCCCUCAAAGCCGUCAUUCUAGCUGUCAGGGCACUCACAAUGCAAGACUCUAUCACAGAGUCCAAGACAAUUAAUUACAUACUAUUUAUGGUAUUUUGCUGAUGUGGCAGCAUAUUUAUAAAGAAAGAGGUAGAAAAAAUAAGACUCCAAGUCUUAUUUAGACUCUAAGUCCACAUUGUUCGAGGUAAUAAAUAAAUUUAGACUCUACGAUAGAGUCUGUAUUGUGAGUGCCCUCAACAAUCGCAUUUGAAACAUUUUAAAAUAGCUAUUCUCAGAUUCUCUAUUAAUUGAUAUCACGAUGGCAUAAUGAUUUGAGGUUGAUGUAACGACAUUUUCGACAUGACCAUCAUAAAAAAACUGAAUGAACUGUCCAUUCGCCACUGCUCCUUCCAAUGCAAAUGUACAUUAACAUUGUCAUUUCCUUCAUGCUUAUUUUUCCAAGUGAAUUUUGGCUCAGAAAAGCAUAAAUCAACAAAUUCACAGUCCUGAAGGCGCUCCUUCGAUAACCUCAUUUGUAUUAUCCUCUUUCCUCCUUGACGCAAUGUUCGUCUCUGCUAAAGUCUUCAUAUCUCUCAGAAAAGCAUAAAUCAACAAAUUCACAGUCCCGAAAUCGCAGGCACAAAUCUAAGAUCCAAACCACUCUUUCAUACCAAACGUAGGACAUCCUAGAAAUUAUGACGUAGUUCUCCUUUGGGCUCACCCUCGACCGAAGGAUCUCUCUUUGAAUUAUGACGUAGUUAUAAUGUUUUACAGAAACCAUGCAUUCUAGCUUGGACCCAAAAUAAAGCUAAACCUUCACUUUUUGCAUUAGCUAACAGCAAACACAGUCCAGAGACCACAUGAACUUUUGCACUUUGAUGUCCUUCAUUUUAGAUCUCGAUAAAAAAAAAAUAGGACGGGAGGAUUUUAUCUUCAUUUUAGCUUCCGACAAAAAUAGGAGGGGAUGAUUUUAGCUUGUUUCUGGACAGCAUAUAGUCCACCGGUUAUCUUGAACUCAGCUAUGUACUCCCUCCGUCCCAAAUUAUAAGUCAUUCCAAGAAUCUUGGAGAGUCAAAGUUUUUCAAAUUUGACCAAAUUUAUAGAACAAAAUAAUAACAUUUUUGGUACCAACCAAAUAUCAUUAGAUUCUUUGUUAGUUAUAUUUUUAUAGUGAACCUAUUUUAUAAUAUAAAUCUUUAUAUUUCUCUCUAUAUUUUUAAUCAAACUUAAAAAUGCUUUGACUCUCCAAAAUUCUUGGAAUGACUUAUAAUUUGGACCGAGGAGUACUUAACAAUUAGCAUUUCUCGCAUUUUCUUUUCGAUGGUGUAGUAUUAUAUCAACAACGGCAAAGACAGCUAUGCCUAUGCGGCUAUGCGUUUACAAAUCUGUCAAACUAACCCCAACUUGGGAACUAAAUUGGUAGAUGAGAGGCAAAGGCAAUCAAGAGGUAAAGGAUAAUAAUCCCAGCAGAAACCGUGAUCAAAGAAACAAUUCAUUGCAAUAUAGACUAGGCCAUGCAUACGCAAAUCCAAGCGUGCAUCCACUGACUGCAUAACAUAAACCCCCAGGUACUACGACUAAGCCGAACUGAUACAAAAUGCACUAGCUAUUGGAUAAUCAGAUCCUGGUCCAUGCUGCUGUCAUUCCAUCGCAAUCACCCUGGUAGCGACGACAGGAUCAUUUGCUUCCAGAACCGAACUGUGCGCCUAGCUCUCAAGCCUGUUCUUGGGCCCCAACUUCCUUCAGCUCCUCCUCCUCUGCCUUGUACUUCUCGCCGUCCUGAACCAUGCGCUCGAUCUCCUCCUGGCUUAGCUGCCCCUGGUCGCUGGAGAUGGUGAUCUCGUUCUUCUGCCCUGUCGUCGUGUCCUCCGCCGACACGUUCAGGACACCGUUCUCGUCGAUGUCAAAGGUCACAAUGAUCCGGGGUGCGGCCCUGGGCGCCGGAGCGAUGCCGGAGAGCUCGAACCUGCCGAGCAGGUAGUUGUCCCUGGUAGUCACCUGCUCACCCUCGUACACCCUGAUGAGCACGCUGUCCUGGUUCUCGAUGCAGGUGGAGAAGAGCCGCUCCUUUCUGGCAGGGAUAGUGGUGUUUCUCGGGAUCAGAACUGUCAUGGCGCCUCCUUUCGUCUCCACCCCGAGCGACAGCGGCGUGACAUCGACCAGCAUCAAAUCUCUGAUCUUGUUACGGCCAGCCUCGCCGUUGAGGAUAGCAGCCAUCAUGGCGGCUCCGUGCGCAACGGCCUCGUCGGGGUUGAUGCUCCGGCAGAGCCCCUUCCCGUCGAAGAAGUCCUGGAGCAUGCUCUGCACCUUGGGGAUGCGGGUGGAGCCACCAACGAGGACGACGUCGUCGAUGCUGCUCGUGUCCGUCGCGGCGUCGCGGAGGCACUUCUCCACGGCCUCUAUGCACUUGUUGAAGAGGUCUCUGUUGAGCUCCUCGAAACGGCCGCGCGUAAUGGUUGCGUAGAAGUCAAUGCCGUCGUGGAAGGAGUCAAUGUCGAUGCUGGUCUGGCUCGUGGAAGACAGCAGCCUCUUGGCCCUGUCACAGGCCGUCUUCAGCCGCUGCAUCGCCUUUGGGUUGCUUCGGACGUCCAUCUUCUUGUGUUUCCUUAUGAACUCGCGCAGGAAGUGUUUCACCAUUUCAUUGUCGAAGUCUUCCCCACCAAGGUGAGUGUCACCAGCAAUGGCCUUCACCUCGAACAUACCCAUGUCUAUGUCGAGGCCCGGAUCAAUGUCAAGGAGGGAAACGUCCAAGGUACCGCCACCGAGAUCAAAGAUGAGCACCGUCCUCCUCCCAUCUCUGGUUGGCAUCUUGUCAAGACCAUAUGCAAUAGCGGCAGCUGUGGGCUCGUUGAUGAUGCGCAUGACGUUAAGGCCGGCAAUGGUGCCGGCGUCAAUGGUGGCCUGGCGUUGAGAGUUGUUGAAGUAAACUGGGACAGUGAUGACGGCGUGCCUGACCGUCGUCUCGAGGUAGACCUCUGCAGUCUCCUUCAUCUUUGCCAGCACCAUGGCAGAGAUCUCCUCAGCAGCAAACUGUUUCUCCUCGCCUUUGUAAUGAACCACAAUCAUCGGCCGGUCCUCACGACCAGGGACGACUUUAAAAGGCCACAACUUGACAUCUCCCUGUACGGUCUCGUCGCUAAAUCGGCGGCCAAUCAGUCGCUUCACAUCUGUAUAUAAGAGAAUAACCAUCAAUCAAGUGUAUAGAACUUUGCAUCAAGAAUUAGAUAAUCAGUUCGUGCCAUUUGGCUAUUUGCAUGCAACAAUUGAACGACUCUUUGUUUUUCCUCUAUAAAAUUGAAGCGUUCGGUUGGCCAGUAAUAUUCAGUACCGGUGCUUAGGGAAGCUAAACAGUCACGUAGAAGAAGACAGAAAAGUGCUCCACUAAGAUCCGCGUGGUUCAUUUAAUUUGGGGGGAAAAUGGAAAAUACAGAAAUUUGUAAGUAUGAACAGCAACGGUAGUAACAGAGAACUGGACGAACGCCCUCGUCACAUGAUCUGACUCAGAUCAUCUCCAUCGUUCUUGGGCAGCCAUCGUGGGCAACAAAGAGCAAUCACGCCACUUCUGUACUCGCACUUCUUCCUAGUUCCUAAUAGUACCAGUCACGAACACCUCGGCGGCGUGCAGCGACGUAUAGAAACAAACGCAAUGAAGUUCAGAGUUUCUCACCGUGGAUGGUGUUGUCGGGGUUCAGAGCGGCCUGGUUCACGGCCGCGUCGCCGACGAGCCUCCCAACGUCGGCGAACGCGACGCAGGAUGGCGUGAGGAGGUUGCCCUGGUCGUUGGCGAUGACCUCGCCGUGGUCGUGCCGCCACACGGCCACGCAGGAGUAGGUCGUCCCCAGGUCGAUGCCGACCGCCGGCCCGUCGCCGGUCGACGCCGCCGUCUCCAUGUUCUCAGAUGGAGAGGCAAGAAACAGAUGCCACUACCACCGCUCCAGAGUCCAGACGACCUCAGGGAGUCGGAGAGACUCGAGGUGUGAGCGCGGCGGCGGCGCGAGCGCAGGGAAGAGCGGCCUGGAUAUAUGUAAAGCGCGCGACGAUUGCGAUCCCUAUGGUCAUUAAAGUUUGUAUCAGGAUUCGCUAGUACUCCAUCCGUAGCGUCGAUUUCAAGAAAAAAUUUCAAUUAUCUUAUAUGUUCUCUUAUCCAAAGGCCUUGUUAAAAAAUUUCGCGACAAUGUAGCACUUUCGUUUGUUUGUAGUAAUUAUUGUCCAACCAUAGACUAACUAGGCUCAAAAGAUUCGUCUCGUUAAUUGCGACCAAACUGUACAAUUAUUUUUUAUUUUCGUCUAUAUUUAAUACUUCAUGCAUGCGUCUAAAGAUUCGAUGUGACAGGGAAUCUUAAAAAAAUUUAGGUUUUUAGGUAGAAGUAAACAAUUCGCAAAAUUUUUCAAGAUUCUCAGUCACAUCGAAUCUUUGGUCGUAUGCAUGAAGUAUUAAAUAUAGACAAAAAUAAAAACUAAUUGCACAGUGUACCUGUAAUUUGUAAGAUGAAUCUUUUGAGCCUAGUUACUCCGUGAUUGAACAAUGUUUGUCAAAUAAAAACGAAAGUGCAGUAGCCAAAAACCAAAAUUUUUGCGAACUAAAUAAGGCCUAAUACAGGUAUAGUACGUUUUACCAUGGUCAGGCCUUGUUUAAGUUUUUGCAAUUUUUUUUCGAUUUUUCUCCACAUCGAAUCUUGCACAACAUGCAUAAAACAUUAAAUAUAAAUAAAAAAAUAAUUAAUUAUACAAUUUAUCUGUAUUUUGCGAGACGAUUUUUUUAGCCUAGUUAGGCCUUUUAAAACCAAAAAGUUUUCAAAAUUCUCUGUCACAUCGAAUCUUUCGUUACAUGCAUGAAGCACUAAAUGUAGACGAAAAUAAAAAUUAAUUGCACAGAAUCGUGAGACGAAUCUUUUGAUCCUAGUUAGUUUAUGAUUGGACAAUAUUUCGCACAAACAAACGAAAAUGCUACAGUAGCGAAAUCCAAAAUCUUUUCACAUCUAAACAAGACCUUAGGUUAUGAUUAGACAAUAUUAGUCAAAUACAAACAAAAUAGUAUAUAUUUUUGAAAAAAAAUUAGAACUAAAAAAGGCCUCAGUUGCUCACGGUCACGCACGCGCUCGUGCUCGUGCAGUCGCACAGCCGUUCAUGAGCGGUUCGCGGUGGGACGGGCUGCAACUGUGAACAUCAGAACAUGAGUAGACUGCACCAACAGGCAAACUGGGCCUGGCGUCGAAGCAGCAGGGCGGUUUAGCAGCCCAUCGGCCGGUCCACGAGCGUCUCUCAUCCUUCCGCACUGCCCCGCUGUGUCUGCGAGUGCGCAUCCUUCGUCCCCUUCCAGCCGCCGUCUCCCUCGCCCGGUCGACGGCGAAACUGGGGUCCACGGAGCUGGCGCGUCCAACUCCGACCCACGAAGACCUCCGUCGACGGCGGCGAAAAUAGGGCCGACUCCUAGAGGUUUCACUUCACAGGUUCAUCAAACACCAGUUGUGGAGACAGCGCCGCCGCUUCCAAUCGCCGGUGCUCUGUGCCCUGCGGAGCCCCCACCGCGGAAACCGGUUGGUGCGCGUGCGUGGAGCGGAGGCCAUGGCGGCGGCGAAGGUCAAAUCGGUCGCCCUCUCCGUCACCCACAAGUGCCGGGUACUGCUCGCCAGCAAUAUCAGCGACCGCUCCGCUCCUCCCUUAUUAGCCGCUGCUGUUCCUGCUCUUACUGCCCUCGCACCUGGUUUCGCAGAACAUCUUGGCUGCCGGUUGGGAAGCCCACCUCAACACUGUCAAGGCCGAUGCCAAGGGAAGGUUUGCUACUCUCUGGAUUCAUAUGCUCAUGUCGUAUUAUCUGUGUAUUUGUGCGAAUAAGGGCUGGAACAGUAUGAGUUGUUUGUCUUGAUUGGUUUUUGUUGGGGGUGCUCUUGGGCAGCAAUAGUGAGAUUUACUCGUCGAGGGUGCACUACAUGAUCCAGAAGGGCACGCCCUACCUGAUUGUCCCUGAGAACGACAUGCACAACAUUGUAAAACUCUUAAUUCCUCUUGUCCAUUUACUUAUUAUAUGAUGUUCGAUAAAUAGUAGUUGCCGUUAUAAUCAAACUGCAUUAAAAUAUGUUGCUUGCGUGGAAUCUUGUGUGGAUAGAACAUUAUAAUCGACGAGCGGGGGUCUCUUGCAGUAUGCAGUCCGAUCCGGGGCCGAGUUGCAGGCUUAUUGAAGUCACUGAAGAAGGUCCUUCUCUAUGAAUUUCAACUUGCUGGCAUUGAAAUUGUUGCUCGUUUCCUUUUAUUGUAUCGCUAGUACAAGCACCUAAUCUUGUUGCUGUACACAGACGCCUCCUCGUGUUGCUAUGACUGGUGAUGUUCUGCGACUGAAAGACUCAAAGGUAAACUUGUUCGCCAGUCCCCAGCAUGCAUAAACAUGCUUCAUUGCUUACUAUAGGUUGUAAGGUGAUGCCCACUAAUCUUUGUGUACUGUGCUUAAGGUUCCAAUUAUUGCUGAUAGCCUGAAGAAAGCUAUUCUGAAGGAACAUGAAGCUGCUAGUGGCGCUAGUUAUGGAAUGUCAUCAAUACUGUCUUCGGCUGGUGCUACCUGCAGGUCACGGAGUGAGGGCCUCCUUAGUCUACUCAGUGAGGAGAGCUCUUACAGCAUCUUAAAAUUUGACAUAGGGUCUGUAACACGGCUUGUUAUUUUCUGAUGUUAGGUAUCUUUUCUUAUUACUUAAUUCAGCACAGCUGAAUUUUCAUCAAUGCUAUUCUUGCAGUUCAUGUGUCUACAUAGACUCCAGCGGGAGCAGCCAUAAUAUUGAAUUGGACAGCUUUGAACCACCAAAAGCAGAUCUGCUAAGUAAGGCUUUUUUAUUCUUACAAGCUCUUUCACCCCUGCUGCCUUUCAUCUUCACCUUUAUUCUUUUCAUGGAAGCUAUAUGCAGACCAAAUUUUCAGUUAGAUAUAUAACUCCAGGAUGCUACUAGUCGGUUGCUUUCAACAAUUAUAUGUUGCCACACCUAUUUGUACUACGAUGUUAUUUUUCUAAAUGUGUAUUCUCCUUCCUAGUGCCAUUCUCUGCAAAGCUUGUGGAUGGUAUCAACCGAAAUGACUCGAGGAGGAGGGCACUGAUGAUUUUCUGUUUUGAGUACUUUAAUGUGAUAGCGAGAGUAAGUUAUUUUCUUUUAUCUGUACAAAUUGCAAUGUUGCAUGGGAUGCUCUUGUUGUUUCUGAUAUGUGAGGCUUCUUUCUUGUUGUCUGAAUUAUGACUUUCUAUUAGUUCAGUACAAUUAACUAUCAUACCUAUCUUUGCUUGAAGAACGCUGUCAUGCUUUCCAUUGACCACCACGGUUUUGAUGUCCUCGCCAAAGUGCCUGAAAGAACCAUCCUUACUGAUGUUCCUCGACAAUACCACUGGAAGGAGUUCAGGUUCACAUUCAAGGAACCAGCCAAGGAUGCUGAGGACUUCUGCCGCAUGUUGGUUGGGUUAGAGGACGAGGUUUUGAAGAGCUUGAAGAGCUAUAGCGGUUUAGGGUGACAGCCCACUUGGCAGAAUCUGAAUCUGUGAAGAAUUAUAUCUGACAUUCAGAUUCUGGUACUCAUAUUUGAAGUAUGGUUUCAUGUUGCUGUGUUAUUGGACAAUAUGGUUUCUUGAAGUUUGUAAAAAUUGUUGACAGUGAAACCCUGGAUUGCAAACCCAAAAUUAUAUAUUUAGAUUUUUACAGCCUGCAUGAUUGUUUUUUUGUGCAUCUUUGUUAUUCCAGUACGGUGUUCUUUGUAAAGUCAGUACUUUUUUGUGCAUCUUUGUUAUUGCAGUACGGUGUUCUUUGUAAAGUCAAGUACUCCUAUUUGUUAGCAAAUGUAUCCACUAGUGCUCCUGUUGCUAAGCUUAAGGCUUUUUCUGGAAUCUUAGUUAUUCAGAGUAUUGCAUAGUAAAGUUUUUUUUAGUAUCUAAACAGUAGAUUUCGAAGAUGUAAUACUUCCAAUACAUGUAGGAAUGAAAAGUGUAGUAUACUAAUCACUAUUUAUAGCCACGGUAAUAAUAUAUAAUAAAUUUAAACAUAAAGUAGGGGCCCGAUGAAUGGCCAAAAAGGAAAAUGCAUGAAAAGAGUACUAGGAUCCAGUUUGUAAUUAUUUAAUAAGCAAAACUAUCAAAAUUCCUCAUUUAGUCGACUUCUUCGAUCUUGGGGCCAGCACCACUGCCACCAGCCGGCGGAGCAUCCUGAUCCAUGCCACCGGCCAUGUCAGGACCAGCAGCGCCCUGGUACAUCUUGGCGAUGAUGGGGUUGCAGAUGCCCUCCAGCUCCUUCAUCUUGUCCUCAAACUCGUCGACCUCGGCGAGCUGGUUGUUGUCGAGCCAAUUAAUGGCCCCCUCGAUGGCGUCAUCAAUCUUCUUCUUGUCGGCCUCCGGGAGCUUGGAGGCGAUCUUGUCGUCCCUGAUGGUGUUGCGCAUGUUGUAGGCGUAGUUCUCGAGCGAGUUCUUGGCGUCCACCUUCUUCUUGUGCUCCUCGUCCUCGGCCUUGUACUUCUCUGCCUCCUGCACCAUCUUCUCGAUCUCCUCUUUGCUCAGCCGGCCCUUGUCGUUGGUGAUCGUGAUCUUGUUCUUCUGGCCGGUGGUCUUGUCCUCAGCCGACACGUUGAGGAUGCCGUUGGCAUCCAUGUCGAAGCACACGGUGAUCUGGGGGACGCCCCUGGGCGCCGGAGGGAUGCCAGAGAGCUCGAACUUGCCGAGCAGGUUGUUGUCUUUGGUCCUGGCCCUCUCACCCUCGUACACCUGGAUGAGCACGCCGGGCUGGUUGUCGGAGUAAGUGGAGAAGACCUGCUCCUUCUUCGUGGGGAUGGUGGUGUUCCUGGGGAUGAGCACCGUCAUGACGCCUCCGGCCGUCUCCAGGCCGAGCGAGAGCGGCGAGACGUCGAGCAGGAGCAGGUCCUGCACCUUCUCGUUGCCCUCGCCGGUGAGGAUGGCGGCCUGGACGGCGGCGCCGUACGCGACAGCCUCGUCUGGGUUGAUGCUCUUGCACAGCUCCUUGCCGUUGAAGAAGUCCUGGAGCAGCUGCUGCACGCGGGGGAUGCGGGUGGAGCCGCCCACGAGCACGACGUCGUGCACGCUGCUCUUGUCCAUCUUGGCGUCGCGGAGGCACUUCUCCACGGGCUCCAUGCACUUGCGGAAGAGGUCCAUGUUGAGCUCCUCAAACCGGGCGCGGGUGAUGGUGGUGUAGAAGUCGAUGCCCUCGUAGAGCGAGUCGAUCUCGAUGGUGGUCUGGGCGGUGGAGGAGAGCGUCCUCUUGGCCCUCUCGCAGGCGGUCCGCAGCCGCCGGAGCGCCCUGGGGUUGCCGGUGAUGUCCUUCUUGUUCUUCCUCUUGAACUCCUGGACGAAGUGGUUCACGAGCCGGUUGUCGAAGUCCUCGCCUCCUAGGUGGGUGUCGCCGGCGGUGGCCUUGACCUCGAAGAUGCCCUCCUCGAUGGUGAGGAGCGAGACGUCGAAGGUACCGCCGCCGAGGUCGAAGAUGAGGACGUUCUUCUCGCCGUCACUGCUCGACUUCUUGUCGAGCCCGUAGGCGAUGGCCGCGGCGGUGGGCUCGUUGAUGAUGCGCAUGACGUUGAGGCCGGAGAUGACGCCGGCGUCCUUGGUGGCCUGGCGCUGGGAGUCGUUGAAGUAGGCCGGGACGGUGACGACGGCGUUCUUGAUGGUGGUGCCGAGGUAGGCCUCCGCCGUGUCCUUCAUCUUGUUCAGGAUCAUGGAGCUGAUCUCCUCUGCCGAGAACUGCUUCUCCUCGCCCCU